rnacentral:rRNA from 1 species
UACGUAGGGGGCAAGCGUUGUCCGGAUUUAUUGGGCGUAAAGAGCGUGUAGGCGGUUUGGUAGGUCCGCUGUGAAAACUCGAGGCUCAACCUCGAGACGCCGGUGGAAACCAUCAGACUAGAGUCCGGAAGAGGAGAGUGGAAUUCCGGGUGUAGCGGUGGAAUGCGUAGAGAUCCGGAAGAACACCGGUGGCGAAGGCGGUCUGCUGGGCAGUUGCUGACGCUGAUGCGCGACAGCGUGGGGAGCAAACAGG